UUUCCGUAGGUGAACCUGCGGAAGGAUCAUUAAAGUUAUAGUCCCCCGGCCCUCUGAGCUGGGGUCUUCUAUACCACCCUUUGUUUAUUACACCUUUGUUGCUUUGGCAGGCCUGCCCUCGGGCUGCUGGCUCCGGCCGGCUCGCGUCUGCCAGAGGACCUAAACUCUGUUUGUAUAUGAAGUCUGAGUACUAUAUAAUAGUUAAAACUUUCGACAACGGAUCUCUUGGUUCUG
rnacentral:misc_RNA from 1 species